AAAUUGAAGAGUUUGAUCAUGGCUCAGAUUGAACGCUGGCGGCAGGCCUAACACAUGCAAGUCGAGCGGAAACGACACUAACAAUCCUUCGGGUGCGUUAAUGGGCGUCGAGCGGCGGACGGGUGAGUAAUGCCUAGGAAAUUGCCUUGAUGUGGGGGAUAACCAUUGGAAACGAUGGCUAAUACCGCAUGAUGCCUACGGGCCAAAGAGGGGGACCUUCGGGCCUCUCGCGUCAAGAUAUGCCUAGGUGGGAUUAGCUAGUUGGUGAGGUAAUGGCUCACCAAGGCGACGAUCCCUAGCUGGUCUGAGAGGAUGAUCAGCCACACUGGAACUGAGACACGGUCCAGACUCCUACGGGAGGCAGCAGUGGGGAAUAUUGCACAAUGGGCGCAAGCCUGAUGCAGCCAUGCCGCGUGUAUGAAGAAGGCCUUCGGGUUGUAAAGUACUUUCAGUUGUGAGGAAGGGGGUA
rnacentral:rRNA from 1 species